GCACUUCCCUGGCAGUGGAGAGGCUGUGAGCACGAAGGUGGGUUUUCCAGGCCGAGGCUCAUGCAUUGCGCUCUGGAGGUGCUGGCCUGGCCCCUGCGAUUUCCCCAAUGUGGGAAACUCAGCUGCAUAAUUUGAGAGGGGGACUGUGUGUGUGCUUUCCCCUG
ensembl:snRNA U1 U1 spliceosomal RNA